rnacentral:lncRNA from 1 species
UACACAGACACACACACCACUGAUAGACCACACACUGGGAAGAUGACUGCCUCGGAAAAAAUUCAUAGAUAUACCCUAUAGCUGACAAGUAACAGAGAGUUCCUUCAUUACAAUGAAAGCACAUGCAUUCUUUCUGGUCAUGGUUGAAGUCGUUGUUUGUGUUAAAUUAGCAAAAUCUUCUAAAAGAGAAGAUAUAGGAGAAAGAAAAGACAUACUGUUUAAGUACGGGAGUGAGAAACAGUGGCCUCCACUUCAGUUUCCAUCAGUAAUGAUUAUUUAAUUUCUUUGUGCCUCAGUUAUAAAACCACAAAAUGGAGAUGUUUGUUUCCUCUGUUCACUUGGUUUGGAAACAUCUAAAGAAGGAACAGAAGAGAGAGAAGUCACCUCUCACCACCGGGUAGUGAAACACUGUCACUACCACCAUUUUACAGAAGGAGGAACUGCAGCAGAGAAGCCAAAAGGUUUGCCCAAUGCCACAGAACAAAAUGGGGCAGAACCGCAAGUCUCUCCAGCCAGGACCACUCCAGCAAUGGCCAGACUCUGCCUACACCGUUUCCUUCACAGUUGAGAGCUACAGGGCACACACUGGACACCUCCAAGAAGCAUGAUGUCUGCUGCCUCCUGCAUUCCGAGAUGCGCUUGCUCCUCAACACUGACUUGGUCCUACAUGCAUUGCCUUCCUGCCACCAAACCUCAUGUCCUGCAAGUGCAUCUAUCAUUUGUAACUCUAGCGCUAUGUCUGGGAGGAGCCACAGGAGGAAUUUCAAAAGACCUGUGACUAACGGUUUCCAGGCAUUAAUUCUGCACAGGUGAUUCCCUUUCAUUUUGUCCUCAAUUUAGUCCCUGUAGGACAAGGGUUGCAUCAGCUAACUCAGGCUGAGGUUGCAAUUUGAUAAGAAGAAGUGAAAAGUACUUUACAUUUCUAUGCUAGUCACAAGUAUUUGGCAGAUCUGUGGUCCAGUUUCUCCCGUGAUCCCAGGAAAAAAUGGCAAUGAAUUUCACUUAGGGUUAAUUUAAGGGGAUUCUUCCCAUGGUCCUGUG